UCCGUAAGAUUCACCCAUGCAUGUUUCUGACAUUUGAAAAAUGGAUUGCUCAGUAAUACUCACUUUAUUUUAUGUAAAUUUUUAAUUAACUACGUUAAAGUGUAGAUAAGAUGUUUACAGUAAGAGUGAGACCUAUCAGCUAGUUGUUAAGGUAAUGGCUUAACAAGGCUGUGACGGGUAACGGUAUUACUUUGUAAUAUUCCGGAGAAGGAGCCUGAGAGACGGCUACUAAGUCUAAGGAUUGCAGCAGGGGCGAAACUUGACCUAUGGAUUUUAUCUGAGGCAGUUAUGGGAAGUAAUAUUAUAUUGUUUCAUAUUUAAA
rnacentral:rRNA from 1 species